CAUGUGUAUACGCCUUGCUCUCCUGAAAACCCUUUAUCCACCCUUCAAACUGCCCUUUGAAGAACAUUUAUAGAAACAAUUACUGGAAUCCUGGAUCAGAAUGUCAAGCGCCCAUAACCUCUUAGGUGUGCAAAAGCCUAGAAAAGGCUAAGACUAGGGGAAAAAAAGAUGCUCACAUAUGAAACAGCAAAGGCAAAAGUCAAGAUACGCGCGUCACAGAUUUCACCAAGGCCCGUAGAAGUCUGUGGACAUGAGCUAGUCAGUGCCUUUGCUUUACCAUGAGCCUCACAGCAUAGGCAGAUGCCCUUCAGUGCUCUGGAUUUGAAGACAGUCUGUCCCAUAGACAUGGUACAUAAUAAUAAAUAAUGACUAUGCCACCUCUG